GACGAACGCUGGCGGCGUGCCUAAUACAUGCAAGUCGAACGAACCGCGACUGAGUGCUUGCACUUGGUCAAGGUGAGUGGCGAACGGGUGAGUAACACGUGGGUAACCUACCUCAUAGUGGGGGAUAACAGUCGGAAACGACUGCUAAUACCGCAUAGGACAUAGGAUCACAUGAUCCAGUGAGGAAAGGUGGCGCAAGCUAUCGCUAAGAGAUGGACCCGCGGUGCAUUAGCUAGUUGGUAGGGUAAAGGCCUACCAAGGCGAUGAUGCAUAGCCGACCUGAGAGGGUGAUCGGCCACAUUGGGACUGAGACACGGCCCAAACUCCUACGGGAGGCAGCAGUAGGGAAUCUUCCGCAAUGGACGCAAGUCUGACGGAGCAACGCCGCGUGAGUGAAGAAGGUCAUCGGAUCGUAAAGCCCUGUUGUUAGAGAAGAACAGCGCAUAGAGUAACUGCUAUGCGUGUGACGGUAUCUAACCAGAAAGCCACGGCUAACUACGUG
rnacentral:rRNA from 1 species